GAAACGGGGAAACGCGUAUCCCCUGAGAGGGCUCUUAAGGAACAUUACCGAACAAAGAGAUAGAAGUCCGAGCUUUCUUAGGGUUUCGCCAUAGGUAGCGGGCAUCGGAUCGACGCAGCUCUCUUCUUCCGCCGACGCCUCUUUUUUCUUUCAGAUCAAGAUGGCUGGGAGAGGUCGCGUGCCUCGCCAAGCUUUUGAAGAUGCUCGACGUGGUUAUCCUGUCCCUCCUGAAGGGCCAUUUUUUGGUGGCCCUGUUCCUCGUCCGCCUCACCCUGCUGCACUUGAGGAGGAACUUGAAUUGCAGAUGAUGGAUAUAAGGAGGCUUUUGGCUGAUAAUCGUGGCCUAGCUGAGGAUCGUGCAGCUUUUCAUCGGGAACUGAUUGCUGCUAAGGAGGAACUGCAUCGGAUGAAUUUGGUGAUUGCAGAUAUCCGUGCUGAGAAAGAAGCCCAUGCAAGGGAGCUGAUUGAGAAAGGAUUGAAGUUAGAAGCUGAUCUGAGAGCCACUGAACCUCUCAGGGAUGAGGUUGUACAGCUUCGUGCGGAAAUUAAGAGGCUAACUGCCAUGCGACAAGAACUCACUGAGCAGGUUCGGUCCCUAACACAAGAUCUGACAAGGGCACGAGCUGAUAAUAAACAAAUCCCCGCUAUGAAGGCUGAAAUUGAUGAGCUUCGGCAGGAACUUAUCCAUCUUCGGAUGUCUAUCGAGUAUGAGAAGAAAGGGAACUUUGAGCUAAUGGAACAACGGCAGUCAAUGGAGAAAAACUUGGUUUCCAUGGCACGUGAAAUUGAAAAAUUGCGAGCUGACUUGGCUAAUGCUGAGGGAAGGCCACGGGGUGCAGGUGGAGGUUACCCUUCGUCCUACGGAAGCCCUGAAGGACUGUUCCCUUCGUCAUAUGGAUAUGAGUAUGGUUUUCAGCCGCCUGUUGCUGACAAGGCUCCUCUCUAUGGUGCUGGUUCUGGAUCAUGGGGAGCAGUUGACAAGGCUCGCGCUCCUCGCCGUUGAAAAUCAAAAUUGAAUUGCCCUCUGAAAUACAAAUUAUGCCUCUUUAUGUUGCAGAUGUUUCUCCACUAGAGGGUUAGAAGUUCUAGCUUUACCAAUUGGCGCAUGCUCCACCAGCCUGUCUUAAUAGAAUGCUGUUCAUCGUUAAAAGCAAGACAUAGCGCAUCACUCAUUAUCUUUGCUUUUGUUGGACGGAGAAAUGCUUUAUAUGCUUUUAUAUGUUGUUUCCUGGACAGUAUACACUAUGUUUGACUGUGGUAUAAAAAUCUUCCCUGAAUCAAGUGAUGAAGUCCAUAUGGAGAUGGAUUGGCUGUCUAUGACCCAACUUAGAGGUUGGUACACCCUUAUGUUAGCAACCCCACAAGAAAGCUCCAGGCCUUGAACCUAUGACACAAUGGCUGCAACUCGCCUGGAUGGGAUUGAAAUGGCACUUAUGCACAAGUGUGAAUCAAGUGUGAAUCAAUCAACCCAAGCAUAUGCCAAUAUCUAUUCUGCUUGAUCCAAGAUCCCAAUUUCAAAACAACCUGGCUUCAUUCAAGAUGUUGAGUAGAUAGGUGGAUGAAAGCAGGUGAGACAGGGAAAGAGAUUUUUAGGCAACGACGGGGGAUGCAAGGAAGAAUGUCUGAGUUUUUUAGGGUUUCCAUGUGUGCAAGCAUAUAUGCUGUGGACUGGUUUGCUUGUUUUGAUUGCUUGGUCCCUCGACCAGGGCAUGCACGUAUUCCAAACAUAUCAGCUAGUAGGGAUUACUGGUUAAAUUGGCUGUAUCAUUUGCGUUGUAUCUUCAUUGCUUGUAUCAGUCAUGUAGUUGAUAUUUCUAGGACUAACCGAUUCAUCAAAUGCUUGUUUCUGGUUCAUUAACAAAGGCUGAAAGGGGGCAUUUGUGGGACUCCAA